UGCCGCGUGUGUGAAGAAGGCCUUAUGGUUGUAAAGCACUUUAAGCGAGGAGGAGGCUACUGCCGCUAAUAGCUUCAGAUAGUGGACGUUACUCGCAGAAUAAGCACCGGCUAACUCUGUGCCAGCAGCCGCGGUAAUACAGAGGGUGCAAGCGUUAAUCGGAUUUACUGGGCGUAAAGCGCGCGUAGGCGGCUAAUUAAGUCAAAUGUGAAAUCCCCGAGCUUAACUUGGGAAUUGCAUUCGAUACUGGUUAGCUAGAGUGUGGGAGAGGAUGGUAGAAUUCCAGGUGUAGCGGUGAAAUGCGUAGAGAUCUGGAGGAAUACCGAUGGCGAAGGCAGCCAUCUGGCCUAACACUGACGCUGAGGUGCGAAAGCAUGGGGAGCAAACAGGAUUAGAUACCCUGGUAGUCCAUGCCGUAAACGAUGUCUACUAGCCGUUGGGGCCUUUGAGGCUUUAGUGGCGCAGCUAACGCGAUAAGUAGACCGCCUGGGGAGUACGGUCGCAAGACUAAAACUCAAAGGAAUUGACG
rnacentral:rRNA from 1 species